rnacentral:rRNA from 1 species
UGGAGGGCAAGUCUGGUGCCAGCACCCGCGGUAAUUCCGGCUCUAGUAGCGUAUAUUAAAGUUGUUGCAGUUAAAAAGCUCGUAGUCUGACUUCGGGCUGGGCUGUGAAGGCUCACCGCAAGGUGGGACGGAUAGCCUGGCCUUACCCUCUGAUGUGCUCUCUGCUCUUAACUGAGUGGAUCUGUCGCACAGAGGCGUUUACCUUAGCAAAUUGAGGUGUUCAAGGCAGGCAUAAUCGCUCGUACACGUUAGCAUGGGAUAAUGAAAUAGGGCCUUGGGUUCGCUGUUGCCGGUUGGUGAGCCCGGGCAAUGAUCAACAGGGGCGGUCGGGGUGCUUCAUAUGCAGGCGCUAGAGGUGAAAUUCUUGGACCGUCUGCAGAUGCCCAGAUGCGAAAGCGUUGCACCAGUACGUCCCCAUUGAUCAAGAACGAAAGUUAAGGGAGCGAAGACGAUCAGAUACCGUCGUAGUCUUAACCCUAAACGAUACCGACCAGGGAUCGAGGAUAGUCCCAUGGUUGACUCCUUCGGCGCCUUACGGGAA